rnacentral:rRNA from 1 species
AUGCAGCCGCUCAGCUCAUCAUGCCGUAGCAGCAGCAGCAGAUACACCACCAAAUCAUCCACGCCGUUCGCCGGCCUUGUCGCUGCCGCCCUUCUGCUCUGCUUCGUCUCGCCAACCAGCUCCUGCACGGAGCAGGAGAGGAGCGCCCUCCUCGGCUUCCUGGGCGGGCUCGUGCCGGGCGGCAGCGGCAGUCUCAACGUGUCGUGGUUGAACGGCACGGACUGCUGCCAAUGGGAAGGCGUCCUCUGCAGCGGCGACGGCACGGUCACAGAUGUCUUUGUGGCUUCCAGAGGUCUCAGAGGGCUCGUCUCGCCAUCCCUCGGCGAUCUUGCUGGCCUCAAGCGCCUCAACCUGUCCCAUAAUUCGCUUGAAGGCAGUCUACCGGCAGAAUUGGUGUUCUCCAGAAGCAUUACUGUCCUCGACGUCAGCUUCAACCGCCUCGAUGGUCAUCUGCAAGAGCUGCAAGCCUCAGAUACCAACCUUCCUCUGCAGGUGCUGAAUAUCUCAAGCAAUUUGUUUGGAGGCCAGUUUCCAUCAACAACAUGGGGGGCGAUGAGGAAUCUGGUUGCCCUUAAUGCGAGCAACAACACCUUCACAGGACAAAUACCAUCUUCUCUCUGCACCAACGCCCCCUUAUUUGACAUGCUUGACCUUUGUUUCAACCAAUUCAGUGGCAACAUUCCCCCAGGGCUUGGCAGUUGCUCCAUGCUGAAAGUGCUCAAGGUUGGACACAAUAACCUCAGCGGAGCUCUCCCGCCGGAACUCUUCAAUGCUACCUCACUGGAGCAGCUCUCCUUACCCAACAAUUUCUUGCAAGGAGUUAUUGAUGGCUCCCACAUAGCAAAACUAAGCAAUCUGACUGUCCUUAAUCUUGGAUCGACUGGCCUCAGUGGCAAGAUUCCGUAUUCUGUCGGCCAGUUAACAAGAUUGGAGCAACUCUACUUGGACAACAACAAGAUGUCUGGUGAGCUGCCACCGGCCCUAGGUAACUGCUCAAAUCUCAGAUACAUUACCAUCAGAAACAACAGUUUUACCGGGGAACUUAGCAAAGUCAACUUCACCAUGUUGGAUCUGAGGACAGCUGAUUUUUCAUUGAACAACUUCACUGGUACAAUUCCUGAAAGUAUCUACUCAUGCACCAACCUAGUUGCGUUACGCCUGGCUUUCAAUCAAUUUCAUGGCCAGUUCUCACCAAGCAUUGGAAAUCUCAGGUCCCUCUCCUUCUUCUCAAUUACCGGCAACUCUUUUACAAACAUCACAAAUACACUUCAGAUGCUCAAGAGAUGCAAGGAUCUCACCUCCCUGAUGAUGGGAACCAACUUCAAGGGUGAAACCAUACCACAGGAUGAAACAAUUGAUGGUUUUGAGAACCUUCAGGUACUCACCAUAGAUGAUUGCCCAUUGGUUGGGCAAAUCCCGCUUUGGAUAUCAAAGCUUGAAAAAUUGGAGAUGCUAGACCUGUCAAUGAAUCAGCUCACUGGACCGAUACCAUCCUGGAUUGAUGGGCUGGGCUUCCUGUUCUUUCUAGAUAUAUCAAGCAACAAACUUACAGGGGAUAUACCAGCUGCAUUGACAAAGAUGCCGAUGCUACUAUCAGAGAGAAAUGCUGCCAAGUUGGACACAAGGUUCCUUGAGUUGCCUGCAUUUUGGACACCAUUACGUCAAUACCGGACGGUCGGUGCUUUUCCUAGCAAAUUGUGUCUGGACAACAAUAAUUUCACUGGUGUGAUUCCCCCUGAGAUUGGUCAGCUAAAAAUGCUCGACAUCCUUAAUUUAAGCUCCAACAGCUUAACUGGCGAAAUACCACAAGAAAUCUGCAACCUCACAAACCUGCAAACGCUCGAUUUGUCGGACAACCAGCUCACAGGUGCAAUACCAUCUGCACUGAGUGAUCUGCACUUCCUAUCCAGAUUUGAUGUUUCUAACAACAAGCUAGAAGGGGAAGUUCCAAGUGGAGGACAGUUUGAUUCCUUUUCGAAUUCCAGCUACAGUGGGAAUCCAAAGCUAUGCGGACCUAUGAUCAACAAUGACUGCAACUCAAGACCAUCUUCAGCCUCUGGGAAGCGACGGAACAACUUGCGUCCUGCAUUAGUUAUUGGAAUCACCGCGGGGGGACUCAUUGCUCUCAUUUUGCUUGCAUGCUUCCUUAUUGCAAGGUUAGCAUAUGAUGAUCACACUGAAAAUGUGGUCCCCCUUCGAAGCAGGCGGUGA